rnacentral:sRNA from 1 species
CUUUGCUCUGUGGAUAUACCAUGAAACCUGCAUUCUUAUUUUUCAAAGACGGGGAAAUAAAUAGCUUGUGUACGAUGGGGCAGUCCUGGGCUGUUGACUUGUGUUUUUGUCUAUUUUAGGCCAGAACACAAAGCGUGAAUCCGGAAGAAAAGUUCAAUCUGGAAACAUCAAUGCUGCCAAGACUAUUGCAGAUAUCAUCCGAACAUGUUUGGGACCCAAGUCCAUGAUGAAGAUGCUUUUGGACCCAAUGGGAGGCAUUGUGAUGACCAAUGAUGGCAAUGCCAUUCUUCGAGAGAUUCAAGUCCAGCAUCCAGCGGCCAAGUCCAUGAUCGAAAUUAGCCGGACCCAGGAUGAAGAGGUUGGAGAUGGGACCACAUCAGUAAUUAUUCUUGCAGGGGAAAUGCUGUCUGUAGCUGAGCACUUCCUGGAGCAGCAGAUGCACCCAACAGUGGUGAUCAGUGCUUACCGCAAGGCAUUGGAUGAUAUGAUCAGCACCCUAAAGAAAAUAAGUAUCCCAGUCGACAUCAGUGACAGUGAUAUGAUGCUGAACAUCAUCAACAGCUCUAUUACUACCAAAGCCAUCAGUCGGUGGUCAUCUUUGGCUUGCAACAUUGCCCUGGAUGCUGUCAAGAUGGUACAGUUUGAGGAGAAUGGUCGGAAAGAGAUUGACAUAAAAAAAUAUGCAAGAGUGGAAAA